AUACGUAGGGCGCGAGCGUUGUCCGGAAUGAUUGGGCGUAAAGGGCGCGUAGGCGGCCCGGUAAGUCUGGAGUGAAAGUCCUGUUUUUAAGAUGGGAAUUGCUUUGGAUACUGUCGGGCUUGAGUGCAGGAGAGGUAAGUGGAAUUCCCAGUGUAGCGGUGAAAUGCGUAGAGAUUGGGAGGAACACCAGUGGCGAAGGCGACUUACUGGACUGUAACUGACGCUGAGGCGCGAAAGUGUGGGGAGCAAACAGGAUUAGAUACCCUGGUAGUCCACACUGUAAACGAUGAAUGCUAGGUGUAGGGGGUAUCGACCCCUUCUGUGCCGCAGUCAACACAAUAAGCAUUCCGCCUGGGGAGUACGGCCGCAAGGUUGAAACUCAAAUGAAUUGGCGGGG
rnacentral:rRNA from 1 species